UACGUAGGGUGCAAGCGUUAAUCGGAAUUACUGGGCGUAAAGCGUGCGCAGGCGGUUUUGUAAGUCUGUCGUGAAAUCCCCGGGCUCAACCUGGGAAUUGCGAUGGAGACUGCAAGGCUGGAGUCUGGCAGAGGGGGGUAGAAUUCCACGUGUAGCAGUGAAAUACGUAGAGAUGUGGAGGAACACCGAUGGCGAAGGCAGCCCCCUGGGCCAACACUGACGCUCAGGCACGAAAGCGUGGGGAGCAAACAGG
rnacentral:rRNA from 1 species